rnacentral:rRNA from 1 species
ACUUACGGCCAUACCACCCUGAGAACGCCCGAUCUCGUCUGAUCUCGGAAGCUAAGCAGGGUCGGGCCUGGUUAGUACUUGAAUGGGAGACCGCCUGGGAAUACCCGGUGCUGUAAGCU